rnacentral:rRNA from 1 species
UACGGGGGGGGCAAGCGUUGUUCGGAAUUACUGGGCGUAAAGGGCUCGUAGGCGGCCAAUUAAGUCAGACGUGAAAUCCCCAAGCUUAACUUGGGAACUGCGUCUGAUACUGAGUGGCUUGAAUUCGGGAGAGGGAUGCAGAAUUCCAGGUGUAGCGGUGAAAUGCGUAGAUAUCUGGAGGAAUACCGGUGGCGAAGGCGGCAUCCUGGACCGAGAUUGACACUGAGGAGCGAAAGCCAGGGGAGCAAACGGG